ACGUGUCUAUUACUUUAUUAUUUCAUUCUUAAUCUCAUUAAUGUUUUUUCAUUCCAUUUCCACUAUAUAUACCCCCCACUUGCCAACCCUUUUUCUUACACAUAACUACUAUAUACUUACCAAUUCUCAUUCUUAUAACAUAUAUCCCUACCUGGUAAUGAAGACUUGUGUUGUUCUCCUUUUUGCCUCUCUACUGAUUGUCGGAUUUAUGGGUGAAGCCCAUGCAAAAAUCUCUAACCGUAGGCUACUUGGUCCUGAAGUGAACCGUAACGUUCCUGGAGGACCAAAUGCCUGUUAUCAUUGCCUCGCUGGGGGGAAAAUUCGCUCUCCUAACGCACCCCACCAAGUUCAUGCUGACUCUGAAAUCAAAUUUGAUCACAGCUCGUUCCGCCACUAGGUGUGUGCUAUACUGCUAGCUCAUCCUAUAGUCAGUGUGUGUUUCUCGAUCGCACUUGUGUGAUUCGUGUAUAUUGUGUAAGGACGAGGAGGUUGAGGUGUGUGGUUUGCUUGGAAAUUACUAGGUACGUGUAUAAUGUGAAACCAACAUGGGUUUCACGAUUUCAGGAGUUUUGUGAUUGUCUAAGUUGGUCAUGUGCGUGUUUGUGUGUAGUAAUUAAAUGAAGGUUUUUAAUAAAGCGUGGUUUGAUGAGCA